CAAAGAUGACCCCAAGCUGCUCCAGACUCACGUGCCUUACUGCCUAUGCUUUGAAAACGACAGAGAGUGUUCCUUUCACAGAAAACCCUGUGGCCGGGUGUGGUGGCUCAUGCCUGUAAUCCCAGUACUUUGGGAGGCCAAGGUGGGCAGAUCACCUGAGGUAGGGAGUUCAAGACCAGCCCGAUCAAUAUGGAGAAACCCUGUCUCUACUAAAAAUACAAAAAAUAAUUAGCCGGGCGUGGUGGCACAUGCCUUGUAAUCCCAGCUACUUGGGAGGCUGAGGCAGGAGAAUCGCUUGAACCUGGGAGGUGGAGGUUGCAGUGAGCCGAGGUCGCACCAUUGCCCUCCAGCCUGUGCAACAAGAGCGAAACUCCGUCUCAAAACAAGAACAACAACAACAAAAAACAACCCUGCAAAAAUCUCCCA
rnacentral:lncRNA from 10 species